rnacentral:rRNA from 1 species
CUACGGGAUGCUGCAGUAGGGAAUUUUCGGCAAUGGGCGCAAGCCUGAACCAGCCAUGCCGCGUGAAGGAUGACGGCCCUAUGGGUUGUAAACUUCUUUUAUACGGGAAGAAACGCCUCUACGUGUAGAGGUUUGACGGUACCGUACGAAUAAGCAUCGGCUAACUCCGUGCCAGCAGCCGCGGUAAUACGGAGGAUGCAAGCGUUAUCCGGAUUUAUUGGGUUUAAAGGGUACGUAGGCGGAAGAUUAAGUCAGUAGUGAAAUCCUGCAGCUUAACUGUAGAACUGUUAUUGAUACUGGUUUUCUUGAAUGUAGUUGAGGUAGGCGGAAUAAGUAAUGUAGCGGUGAAAUGCUUAGAUAUUACUUAGAACACCGAUUGCGAAGGCAGCUUACUAAGCUAUGAUUGACGCUGAGGUACGAAAGCGUGGGGAGCGAACAGGAUUAGAUACCCUGGUAGUC